CUUGGGAAUUUCUCACCUAUGGAAAUGCAGGGGGAAAGAACAUAGAAAAAGGAAAAUUAUAUGUAGUAGAAAACAAAGAGACCGAGACAUGUUUGAAUAUUGGACCAGAUCACAGUUUUGAUUGGAAAAUGGGUACUCAUAUAUUUAAAUCGAAGGCCACUUUCAUAUCCAUAUUUCUAAGACUUGAUUGAGAAGUGAAUAUAAAUAGGGUGGAUUAGUAACUCUUAAUUUGUAGCAGCUAGUCCUACUAUCACAUAGUUUUGAAGUUGUUGGCAAGUAUGGCAGGGGACAACUCGACAUCUGUACUGAUAGCCCUUGUUAUUUUCUCUCUGGUUUUGUCUCCCAUGUUACCUUGUGCUAUGUCUCGUCGUCAUGUUUAUUGUCCAGCGUGUGUAUGUUGCGGGCCACCACCACCAGGCGGAGGCUGCUGUAGCUGCCGAUGCGCCUCGGUUGAAUCUCCAACACCUUCCCAAACGGGAACUCCUUGAGAUUGAUUACUGGGAUUUUAGUUGCUUCAGAAAGCGAUCCAUUUAGGAGCUGUAUAAUAAAUGAAAAGGAUAGCCUCUUUUUCCUUUCAUUUUCAGUGUGUUUGCUUGGUUUUUUCUUUUCUUUUCGGGUUUAUCAAAUCUGGAAUAAAUGAUGGUAUCCUUAAACAGAA